rnacentral:rRNA from 1 species
CCUACGGGCGGCAGCAGUGGGGAAUAUUGCACAAUGGGGGAAACCCUGAUGCAGCGACGCCGCGUGAGUGAAGAAGUAUUUCGGUAUGUAAAGCUCUAUCAGCAGGGAAGAAAAUGAAGGUACCUGACUAAGAAGCCACGGCUAACUACGGGCCAGCAGCCGCGGGAAUACCUAGGGGGCAAGCGUAAUCCGGAUUUACUUGGCGUUAAGGGGGCGUAGGCGGCAGAGCAAGUCUGUAGUGAAAGUCCGCGGCCCAACAGCGGGACUGCAUUGGAAACUGCCCGGCUAGAGUGCUGGAGAGGUAAGCGGAAUGCCUAGUGUAGCGGUGAAAUGCGUAGAUAUUAGGAGGAACACCAGUGGCGAAGGCGGCUUACUGGAGAGUAACUGACGUUGAGGCUCGAAAGCGUGGGUAGCAAACAGGAUUAGAUACCCGUGUAGUC